CAACCUGCCCCAGAGCGGGGGACAACAGUCCGAAAGGGCUGCUAAUACCGCAUGUGGAGAACGAAAGGCAUCUUUUGUUCUCCAAAGCAGCAAUGCACUCUGGGAUGGGCCCGCGGCCUAUCAGCUAGUUGGUGUGGUAACGGCUCACCAAGGCAACGACGGGUAGCUGGUCUGAGAGGAUGGCCAGCCACAUUGGGACUGAGAUACGGCCCAG
rnacentral:rRNA from 1 species